AUGCCGUCAGCGACGCCGGGCUCUGCCGUCACCGCGGGGAGGCGGAGCGCAGGGAUGGGCGCGGGGACAUCGCCGGGUUCGGGGCUCAUCGGCACCACCGGGGCCGGCUCGCCCAAUGGAGGCAUCCCCUCGGAGUCUCCACCGGCCCGACCACCCCACAGAUCACAGAGUCAUGGAGGCUGGAAAAGAACCCCUGAGAUCAUCGGGGCCAGCCGGUGUCCGGUCACCACGCUACAGACGGGCCCUUGGUACUGGGUGCCGCGUCCGUCCUGGAUGGAGGGGCCGGAGCGAGACACAACACCUGAGGAGCGGCCUCACCUGUGCCCCGUACAGAGGCACAAUCGCUGUCCUGGCCCUGGUGGUAUUGCUGACACCAACCAGAUGCCAUUGCCCUUCUUGGCCACCCGGGCACAGCUGGCUCACGUUCAGCCUUUGCUGACCAACACCCCAGGUUCUUUUCCUCCGGGCAGCUUUCCAGACUCUCCUCAGCUUGGAGCUGCAGGGGCUUGCUGUGCCCCAAGUGCAGGAGCCAGCAGCUGGCCUUGUGGAACCUGCCACCACUCGGUCCUUCCAUUGCAGCCUGUCCGGAUCCCCCUGCAGAGCCUCCCUGCCCUCCAGCAGAUCAAUCCUCCCUCCCAGCUUGGUGUCAGCCCUGGAGCCUCCAGCCCCAGCGGCGGCACCACGGCAGGGCCGGGCUGCAGCUCCCCGCAACCCGGUAUUGUCCCGGCAUUGUCCCGGUAUUGUCCCGGCAUUGGCACGGUGUUCUGGUGUUGUCGCGGUGUUGGCCCAGUGUUACCCCGGUGUUUUCCCGGUAUUGCGCCGGUGUUGUCCCGGUAUUGCCCCAGUGUUAUCCCGGUGCUGUCUCGGUAUUGUCCCGGUGUUAUUCCAGUGUUAUCCCGUUAUUGUCCCAGUGUUAUUCCAGUGUUAUCCCGCUGUUGUCCCGGUAUCGUCUCACUGCUACCCCAGUGUUAUCCCGGUGUUUUUUCCCGGUAUUGUCCCACUGCUACCCCAGUGUUACCCCGCUACUGUCGCGGGGUUCUCUCGAUGUUAUCCCGGGGUCGCUCUGGGCGGGGCUGGGGCGGAGCCUAA
rnacentral:lncRNA from 1 species